AUACAAGGGGGGAUACCAUGAUCAUGAAGAUGGUUUUCCCAGGGUGAGGCUCAUCCAUUGCAUUCUGUGUGUGCUGACUCCACUGAUUUCCCCAAAUGCGGGAAACUCAAGUGCAUAAUUUGUGGUAGUGUCAAAGGUGCUACAAGUUCUUUCAUA